CCAUUUGGUGGGGGAUAACCACGGGAAACUGUGGCUAAUACCGCAUGACGUCGUAAGACCAAAGCAUGCCUCUACUUGUAAGCAUGCGCCGAUUGAGCGGCCUAUAUCCCAUUAGCUAGUUGGUGAGGUAAUGGCUCACCAAGGCGACGAUGGGUAGCUGGUCUGAGAGGAUGAUCAGCCACACUGGGACUGAGACACGGCCCAG
rnacentral:rRNA from 1 species